rnacentral:rRNA from 1 species
GACGAACGCUGGCGGCGUGCUUAACACAUGCAAGUCGAACGGAAAGGCCUGCUUUCCCUUGUGGAUUGCGGGUACUCGAGUGGCGAACGGGUGAGUAACACGUGAGUGAUCUGCCCCCAACUUGGGUAUAAGCCUGGGAAACUGGGUCUAAUUCCCGAUAGGACUGCAGGGUGGUGCCUGUGGUGGAAAACGAUUUUCUAGUGGUUGGGGAUGAGCUCGCGGCCUAUCAGCUUGUUGGUGGGGUAAUGGCCUACCAAGGCGGCGACGGGUAGCCGGCCUGAGAGGGUGGACGGCCACAUUGGGACUGAGAUACGGCCCAGACUCCUACGGGAGGCAGCAGUGGGGAAUAUUGCACAAUGGGCGGAAGCCUGAUGCAGCGACGCCGCGUGGGGGAUGACGGCCUUCGGGUUGUAAACUCCUUUCGACCGCGAGGAAGCCACCUGGUUGGAAGGGUGGUGGCGGUAGUGGUAGAAGAAGCACCGGCUAACUACGUG